AAUAAACAGCCAAGAUUACUCAAUCUUGGCUUUCAGCCGAUUGAGUAUUCAAAUAGGAGAAUAAGAGGGUGUAGAAACAGUAGAGAAAGAGAGAACAUUGAGUGUUUUGAAAGAGAGAGUUCAGAGAGUUUGAACUUGUUUUUGUAUAUGAGAGAUAUGCAAUGUGUUCGUCUGUUUCAAAGAGAAUGGGUGGGGUACUUAUAGUACUAGAAACGAGAACACAAACAAGGCAGCAAUCAUUAAUUAAGGAACUAGUGUCAAUCAGACCCAAUUAGGAUUAGGACUCCCCUUUAACUAAGGAGUCAAGGCAAACGGUAACAAACAGAGGGUCCAAAAGGAAAGGAAUCAAUUAAAUAUAUUUACCCUAGUAAGAGUAUGAAGCAUAUAAUAUAGGGGAGUCAAGGCAAACGGUAACAAACAAAGGGUACAACAGGAAAGGAAUCAAUUAACUAUAUUUACCCUAGUAAGAGUAGCAAGCAUAUAAUAUACCAUAAGGGUUAGAUUCAUAAUAAUUUAAGUAAGGAAAAUAUAUGCUGAACAUUUGAAAGCCUGUUCAUGCACAAAUAUGGUAAGAAAACACCAAUUAAUUUCUGAAAGUUAGUCAAACAAUCACGGACACAACCAAGUAUAUAGAGCAUAAAACAAGUAAGGAAAUAAUUCAAAAUCGGUGUAAGAACAUUUUAAGGAAAACAUAUACAAAUUAGGAAUUCAAAGAGAUGCACAGAAUCAGUAGAAUAUUGCAUGAUCGAUGAACAAUUGGACCUACAAAACACAAUAGACAUGAAAAUCAGGGAGCCUUAGGCAAGAAAGCAUGGAAGUAGUAAAGGGUUGGAACCCUAGCAAAUAGAUAAAGCAAUGGAACUCGGAUUAACAGGGAAACAAACAAACUCAUAACAAAAAUAAGCACAAACAACCACAUAAUACUCAAGAAGAUUCAGAAAGUAUAACGAUUUUGCAAAAGGGGUCAG
rnacentral:lncRNA from 1 species